CGCGCGAUUAUGUGUGCGUAUUCUCUCUUAGUCGCGUGCAGUGUGUGCCUCCUCGCAGUAACAUGCCAUGUCGGCUCUUUAUUCAAAUAAUCUCUCAAUAUAAGUACACAUAUAUAUAAGUACAUACAUAUAUAUUUAUCUAUACAUAUAUAUACAUUCAAUAAAUUAAUAAAACAGUAAAACUUUAACUACAGACACAGACAGUAGUCAAAUUAAAAGAAACUGACAGUUGUCUUCCCGUGAAGAAUAUUAUAGACAAAAGUGAGGGUUUUAAAAAAUAUUUUCGCGAAUAAUCGAUCGGGCUAAGUUGACAGCAAAUCAACGUACAACGUUGUCUAGUUUGAGUUUUGCGAGUGUGUGUAUCAGGGUAUAUCAGCAGGAGCUUGGAGCUGCUACACAAACUCAAUCCACACUAUCGUACUCAGCUCAGCAGACUCUUGUACAUAUUAUUUGAGAGUUAGAGUGAUGGUGAUGGCGAUGUGAUGGUGGACAUCCGUGUGUGGGUAUUCUGAAAGACCCGAGAGCCGAGCAGAAGGAGAUAUAUGGUGGGAGUCGCAAAACUACCGAGUAAGAGAGUAAGCGAGACACCGAAGAAAGAGGAUUCAGCGCUGAGGUGAAGAGCGAGAGGACUUUUCUCGUAUCCGCUGCUGUAGUAGUGGAGUAGUCAUCGUCUUCGUCGUCGUCGUCGUCGUGUGCUUUGUGUCCAAGUGUUGUGCAUUUAUAUCUACAUAUAUGUAUUUUUUUAUCAAAGGGUAUACUAUAUCUAUCUAUCUAUAUGUAUUUAUGUAUUUAUAUUUAUAUACAUAUAUAUGUUCCAGUAGCAGCAGUAGAAGAAUAAAGAGUAGUUGUUGUACUCCCGAGUUUAGAAAAAAAGAAGAUAUAAGACACGAGACACGAGCACGACCACGACCACGACGACGACGAUAACAACGACAACAAGAGAAUCAGUACCAAAUGUACUUGCUCAACUAAAAGUAUACUCGCGAUUUAUAAAUAUUUAUCUGGAAGUGCCGGAACCAAGGUGUCAAGUGGUGAAAUAUUAAAAGGAUUUUGUAUAAAAUGAGACCGGGUGAUUUAAAAUCUGGACAGUUAUUAUUAAAUAGAUAUAUUGGAAGCUACAGUGUGUAUGGUAUAAAUUAACAACUAACUAAAACUGGUGUGUUAUGUUCCAUGUUACAUUACAUUAGUUGGGUCUAUAUUUUUGCGUGCGCUGUAUAGUAUUCUGUUUCUGUAUACAGAGUUAUACAGAGUAGACUAAAAGACGUGUGAUGGUCGCUGUUGCUGAGCGAGACUCACUGGCCGGAAAUAUAUAAGCCUUGAGAGCUAGAGUUUGCUCAGUACUCCAAUAUACAACUGAGUACAGUAGCCACCAGUAUAAUAGUGAUUUAGUUUAUUUUUUUUUUUUUUUCAUUUUUUUUUCCUUUUUUUUUUUAACUCAUGUUCUUUAUUUUUUCAAAGCUUUGUAUGAAAUGAAAGAUAUUGUGCUGAGAAUGAAUAAGAGACAUCUAAAGUUUAAGACUACACUUUUAUAUGUACAUACAUGCUUAUAUAUUAUUUAUAUAUAUACUUAUAUACGUAUACAUAUAUAUUUAUAUAAACAUGUGUGUAUAUAUAACUGGAUAGGGCUUUUGAUUUGUGUAUAAAUGUAGAUGAGUAAUAGUAGUCGUAGACUCUUUAAAUUCUAUGAGUUUUUUUUUUUUUUUUUAAUGAUUAUUCUAUGAGUAAGUUUUGUGCGUAUAUAUCGUAUCGUGUGAUAUGUGAGUUGGUCGGUGACCAGAAGGACGCGGGUAUAUAUAUAUAUAUAUAUAUAUAUAUAUAUAUAUAAAAUAUAUAUGAAGGAGGUGAGGAGAGACUAGAGAGUAGUAGUGGAUCGAGAGGGAGACUCAGUCGUGCGCGCGAGAGGGCAGUGAUCUCUCGGGGAGCGGCGACCUGACACCAACGACCGAUAGCUAUAGGAUACAUCCAUCUCGCUCUGUUGAGCAUCCCAGACUCCAUCACGAUCUUACACUUUUAAACUCAUCUGCAGAUACUCGGACCAUUCCAAGACCAAGAAGAAGACAACGUUAUAGAGUACAUUUCUUCUUUCUCAGAUCAUCACCAUGGUGCAUUUUAUCGUGGUACACAAUACUCAUCGUCUUCUUGCCCAGUGGAUCAUUCAGCACCAUCAUUUGAUCGGAUUACCAAGGUGACCUGGCAUAUACGACAGUCCAUGGGGAGUCCCGUUGAACCUGAAUUGACACCACCUGGCGAGUGGCGACGUUACACUCCCCCUGGAGAUAUAUGACACACCGUUUCAACAUAAGACGAUUUUGCUUUGUGCUGUCAUUAUGAUGAGGAAGAAAUGUUCACUCUUAUCAAGAUUCACACUAUUACAUGAAAUUGCUGUUGUUAUUACUCAUUACUCAUUAUAUAUUACAUUGUUUUUAUUAUAAAUAAAUUAUUAGAAACUAUAUUUUUUUUCAUCAAGUUUUAAAUUUUGUUGAUUAGACAUUUUAAGGGAUUGUACGCACUUAGAAUUAAAAAAAUCAAUUUUUUAUUUCAUUUUUAUAAUGUACUUGUGCUUAAAAAAUUAAAUAUCGAUCGGACAAAUGUUUUUAUAGUUAUACUUAUAUUUGUAAAGCUUAAUUGAAGUGCGUCGCACUUUGAUGGGGCUGAGACCAAAAAGUUUGAAUUACUUUUUAUCAAAACUAUAUUGUCAAAAUUGGUGAGCAAGAUUUGUUGAUAACGGCUGAUGAUUCUUUAAUUUUUACAAAA